UUUCGCAAUGCCCGAAAGGGUGACGAAGCGACGCCGCGUGGGUGAGGAAGGCCUUCGGGUUGUAAAGCCCUGUCAGGAGUUAUGAAAUGUAAGUGCGCUAAUAUCGUGCUUAUUUGACAAAGGCUCCAAAGGAAGCCACGGCUAACUCUGUGCCAGCAGCCGCGGUAAUACAGAGGUGGCGAGCGUUGUUCGGAAUUAUUGGGUGUAAAGAGCACGUAGGUGGGUUUGCAAGCCAGAUGUGAAAGCCUUCUGUUCAACGGAAGAAUUGCAUCUGAAACUGCUAAUCUUGAGUAUAGGAGGGGAGAAUGGAACUUCUGGUGGAGCGGUGAAAUGCGUAGAUAUCAGAAGGAACGCCGGCGGCGAAAGCGAUUCUCUGGCCUAUUACUGACACUCAGUGUGCGAAGGCUAGGGGGGCAAACGGGAUUAGAUACCCCGGUAGUCCUAGCCGUAAACGAUGGGCACUAAGUAGAGGGGUUUUA
rnacentral:rRNA from 1 species